GAGAAACAAGAGCUUCAGGAUGACAAAAGAAAAGCCAUCGAAAGCAUGGAGCAGCAAUUAUCUGAAUUGAAGAAGACACUGUCUAGUGUUCAGAAUGAAGUACAAGAAGCUCUGCAAAGAGCAAGCACGGCUUUAAGUAAUGAACAGCAAGCCAGGCGUGACUGUCAGGAACAAUGAGCAUUCACUGAAAGCUCAGCUUGUGAACAUGUUCACAGGGGAAGCCAACUCCGAGAUACAGUAAGAAGAACCAAGAAGUUAACACAUUAUGUCAAAAGUAAUACGCAAGCAUGACCAGAACCCAAGUGCUAAGAUGGAGGCAGAGACAGGUGGAUUCUGGAGUUCAUUGGCCGGCCAGCCUAGAUGAGAUGCAGUUCAUCGAGAGACCUUGUUUCUAACCAUAAAGUAGAGAAUAGUGAAGGAAGACGUAAGUCAGCCUCUCUCCUCUAAGUGCACCUACACAAACACAUGAAUA